AAGGUCGAGUAGCGAAUGAUGAGA
rnacentral:siRNA from 1 species